rnacentral:rRNA from 1 species
CACGUAGGGGGCGAGCGUUGUCCGGAUUUAUUGGGCGUAAAGAGCUCGUAGGCGGUCUGUCGCGUCGGUCGUGAAAACUUGGGGCUUAACUCUGAGCUUGCGGUCGAUACGGGCAUGACUGGAGUUCGGCAGGGGAGACUGGAAUUCCUGGUGUAGCGGUGAAAUGCGCAGAUAUCAGGAGGAACACCGGUGGCGAAGGCGGGUCUCUGGGCCGAUACUGACGCUGAGGAGCGAAAGCGUGGGGAGCGAACAGG